rnacentral:lncRNA from 1 species
GUUGUAUUUAUUGUAAUUAUUGGGGUUACCUCAUGUAACCCUGUCAUGAAUGAAUACUUCGUAGAUACUUUGGUAGUGUUUACAUUUAUUGUAAUAAACAAACUUCUUUAUUUUAAAUGUAGGACUUCAUGAAAGUUGUAUUGUUUAUUUGAUGUACAUGUAAAGGUGAUCUCAGUUUACUUCAGUUAAGUUAAGUGGGUUAUAUUUGUAAUUAUGUCUGGGGUUACCUCAGGUACCCAUGUUAUAAAGAAUGCUUAUUAGAUAGUUUGCUAGUGAAAACAUUUAUGUUGUAAUCAAACAAUUUCUUUAUUUUACAUGUAGGCCUCAUAGAUGUGUAUUGUUUAUGUGAUAUAUCGGAAAAGCGAC